CCCUUAGAUGUUCUGGGCCGCACGCGCGCUACACUGAUGCAUUCAACGAGUCUAAAACCUGGUCCGAUAGGGCUGGGUAAUCUUUUGAAAGUGCAUCGUGAUUGGGAUAGAUGAUUGCAAUUCUUCAUCUUCAACGAGGAAUGCCUAGUAAACGCAAGUCAUCAGCUUGCAUUGAUUACGUCCCUGCCCUUUGUACACACCGCCCGUCGCUCCUACCGAUUGAAUGAUCCGAUGAAUACCAUGGAUUGAGAGUACGAAUGGGUUCGCUCAUUUCUGCUGCUCGAGAAGUGGAGUAAAUCUUAUCAUUUAGAGGAAGGAGAAGUCGUAACA
rnacentral:rRNA from 1 species